GGGUAUAAUUCUAAUUAGAGAAAUUAUCCAAAUGAAAGAAUGAUGAAAUUAUGAGCUUAGGUGGUGAAAUGUUAAAGUUGAAAACUUGAAAUAUGGGCCAAAGUGUUAUUUGAAAGAAGUUUAGGGUUUUAGCUUGGAUUUCAAAAGAUGGAUUAAUUCUAGUUUUGGAUUUCAAAAGCCACUCAAUUAUGGCUUUGAGUCUUUGGAGUCCAUGGCUAAGAUUGUGACAAGUGGCAUAACACCAUUGGUUGAAGGAUUCUAUAAAUAGGCACCUUGAGUUGCUCUCAAACCAUUCCAAACAAAUUUGAAGAGUGAAGUACUCUAAGAGGAGGAGCUUACUCUAGAGAGAGAGAAGGAGGUUCGGCAAGAAGGUGGGAAGAAAGCGGACAAGAAGCGGCGGAGAACGAGCCUCGUCGGAGUUACGGGUCUUCGCCGGAAUUUGCCAAAAUCAGUCAGCAAAAAAGUGAGAAACUUAGGCCGUUUGCUGUAAAAUUAUAUCGUCGAAGAGAUAACUCAACAAGGUUCGACGAGCGGCUCUAAAGGAAAGGAGGUAGCUGAAGAAUAAGUUUAAUUUGCUGUCUAUAGCAUGUUUAGAAUAUUUUCAUUUAUAUGCAAACCUAUGUAUGUCUUGGAUAUGUUUAAGAGGUUCAGUUAUAUCUUGCGAGAGAUGAUGUCCAUGUAAUUCAUUUUGU